rnacentral:tRNA from 1 species
AAGGAUUUAAGUUAAAAAAACUAUUAGCCUUCAAAGCUAAAAAUACAUUACUAUGUAAGCCUUG